UACUCACUCACUCCCCUGCUGCUUUGCGUUAGCCAUCCGGAGUGACUUCCAUUCCGGUCUCACAGAAGUCAACCAACCCCUUCCAGGGGCUGGAUCUGGCCGGCGAGCGGCAGGGACAGCAGAGCUGCGCGUCCCUCCUGCUUCAGGCCAAGAGGAGGCGGCGGAUCUGGGGCGGGCGGGCCUUCCUUGCUGUCUACGACAGGCUUGUUCCCGACCCCCAGUUUGCAAGCAUGGAGCUGGCGACGGGGGCGAUGAGGAGCCUGCUGCCCAAGCUGCUUCAGCUGCUCGAGAAAGAGUACGGCCUGCAAACGGGCGUGAGGGAGAAGAUCAAGUCUCUCACGGGAGCUCGAUGUCGUGCACGCCGUCCUCCGCAAGAUCGGCGAUGUGCCAUCGGAGCAGGUCGAUGAGCUGGUCAAGCUUUGGGCGCGCGAUGUCAGGGAGGCAUCCUACGAAAUGGAGGACAUCGUCGACACAUUCUUGGUGCACGACGAUGGCCCUGACCCCACCGAUCCACACAUGCUCCUGCGCCUCCGGAAGAAGUUAGGCAAGCUGUUCAAGAAGAGCAAGGCUCGCCGUAAGAUCUCUAACCUGAUCCAAGACAUUAACAAGAAGUUCGAGCAGGUGAAAGCAAGGCAUGUCAAGUACACAGUCGACAGCGUUGUCCUCAAGUCUCUAGCGGCAACGACCAUCGAUCCUCGUCUCCAGAAUCUGUACAAAAGGGCAACAGAGCUUGUUGGCAUUGACGGGCCAAGGGACGAUCUCAUAAACAAGCUAUCCCUGGGGGGUGAUGUUGAUGUGUCCGACAAGAAGAUGAAAGUCAUCUCUGUCGUUGGAUUUGGAGGACUCGGCAAGACCACUCUUGCCAAAGCUGUCUAUGACCACUUCAAACCGCAUUUCAAGUGCAGGGCUUCUGUUCCAGUCGACCAGAAUCCUGACAUGAAUAAAGCAUUCGAUGACCAGGUUGAACCGCAUUUCGAAUGCGGAGCUUUUGUUCCAGUGGGUCGGAAUCCUGACAUGAAGAAAGUCUUUAGAGACAUUCUCAUUGAUCUUGACAAGGAAAAGUACACGAAUCCGAAUAUGAUGGUGUUGGAUGAAAAGCAGCUCAUGGACGAACUCAAGGAAUUCGUCAAGGAGAAGAGGUGUUUCAUUGUUAUUGAUGAUAUAUGGGACAAGGAGUCAUGGAAAUUAAUCAGAUGUGCUCUGCAAGAAAGUGAUUGUGGAAGUAGACUUGUCAUAACUACUCGUAUUUCUGAAGUUGCCACACAUGCUGGUGAAGCUUACAAAAUUCAGCCACUUUCUCGUGAUAACUCUGAAAAAUUAUUGUAUGCAAGAAUAGUUGAUGGUGAAUGGAAGUAUUUCGAUAAUCCAUCAGCUAAGGCAUGUGAAAAAAUUUUGAAGAAAUGUGGUGGUGUACCAUUAGCUAUCAUUACAAUAGCUAGUUUGUUGGCCAGUAAACCAGGGGAGGACUGGUCUGAGGUCUACAACUCUGUCGGUUUUGGGCAUGAAGACAAUGAUGAUGUAGAUCAUGUGAUAGAGAAAAAUAGUUUGAUAUGGAAGUGGAUAGCUGAAGGUUUCAUCCAUGAGGAACUAGCAGCAGGGUUAGGAUUAUUUGAGCUCGGGGAGAGGUGCUUCAAUGAGUUGAUAAAUAGAAGCAUGAUCCAGCCAGUGGAGACAAAACAUGAAGGGUAUGUAGAUGGUUGCUGCGUUCAUGAUAUGGUUCUUGAUAUGAUCCACUCAUUAUCGAGUGAAGAAAAUUUUGUCACUGUAUUGAAUGGUGAUGAGCGACAGAAACUUCCGGGGAGCAUUGCUCGCAGGUUAGCCCUGCAGCGUGUUCUAGUGCACAAGGAUGGUCAGCUAGCUAAUAUCACUCUGAAGAAUGUGAGAUCCCUUAUUGCCAGUCAGUGCUUCGGUUCAUUAUGCCUACACACUCCGGUUUUACGUGUAUUAGAUGUGAUAAACUGUGCAGAAAGUGAGACGCCUAAUGUUUUGGAAGAUAGGGACAAAACUAUGCCAAGCCAUCUUGGGAGUUUACUUCACCUGAGGUACCUCGGGUUAGUAGAUACAUAUAUCACUAAGCUGCCCAGGGAAGUAAGGUAUCUCAAGUUUCUGCAGACACUGGAUUUAAGGGGAAGUCGCAUAAAGGAGCUGCCAGAGGAGGUGGGACUGCUGACACAACUUGUUUGCCUACGAGCUGAUUGGGAAAUAAUGGUGAAGAUUGGUUUGAUCGGUAAGUUGACCUCAUUGCAAGAGCUUUGGAUAGAGCCUGCUGCUGCUGUUUAUGAUGACGAUGCUGCUUCUGUUGAUGAUGAUGAUGAUGCUGCUGCUGUUGAUGAUACUACGAAGUCUACGAUGAAGUUUGUGAAUGAGCUGGGCCUACUGAGGGAACUAAGGGUGCUCCGGACUUAUUUUGAGGAUUUGAAUGAGAGCAUGGAGAGAGCUUUGUUGGAAUCCCUAAGCAAGCUGCACAAUAUCCGGGACCUGCACAUUGAGGGCCCACCCCUAGUGACAAGGAGAGUGACAAGCAGUGCAAGAUCUGUCUCCUGCCUGCAUCUCCGAUACCUGUGUCUGAAUUGCUUUGUGUUCUCUGGACUGCCAGCAUGGAUUAAAUCAUCGCUUGCUCCGAACCUCUCCUGUCUGGAUGUGGUUGUGCUAAUUGUGAAAGAGCAGGACAUGGAAACCCUUGCGAGGUUGCCAGAGCUCCGCUGCCUUGUGCUGCGUUUGCAUGAGACCGAAUUGGUUAGCAUAAAGAUUCAUACUGAAGAUGUUGGCUACUUUCGGAAGUUGAGAAUCUUAAGGAUACUUGGUACAUCUAUCUGGUUUGAUCUGCACGGCAGCAAGUGCAACAUCACAGACAAUAGAAGCUUAGCAUCUAUUAUCAUGCCAAGUCUUGAAUUCCUCGAGUUUGCUGUCCAUAUGCGGUUCCUGAAAGAUGCAACCCAGCUUGGUUUUGACAAGCUGCUUAGCUUCGAGAAGCUUGGAAGAAGUUCGCUCCAGAAAGUCACCAUAGUACUGAAAUGUGGAGAUGCCCGUCUGUCAGAGGUGGAGGAAGUGGCUGCUGCAUUGAUGAACUCAGCUGCGGUCCAUCCCAAACACCCAACUGUUCAAACCAAAUGGCAAGACGAACAAGCUGUGCUCUCACCCUACCAAGAGGCAUAUAUGCAUGUGAGCAGAACCCCGGAGUUGGUAAAUGAGGCCUGGAAGGCGAACAUUGUUAGCUCUGGCCGUAUUCGAGCACUGCGUAUGCCAGUUACAGAAGCAUCUUCAAGCAAAGUUAUCUGUCUGCUUUAUAGAAAAAGUGGGAAGGGACUUUUAGCUCUCAGCUCAAAUGCUGUUCAUAAGCUGUGGAAAUGGGAGAGCAAUGACAAGAAUCCUGCUGGCAUGUCCACCACAUCUGUCCCACCUCAAGUGUGGCAACCGGAAAGUGACAUUCUAAUGAAUGACACUGCUAAUGGCAACCCUGAAGAAGCAGCUGCCUGCAGUCUACUAUCCAAAAAUGACUGCUAUCUAAUUUCUGCAUCUGGUGGCAAAGUUUCGUUGUUCAACAUGUUAAAUUUCAAGACCAUGACUACUUUCAUAGCACCUCCACCCUCUGCAACUUUCCUCGCAUUCCACCCGCAUGACAAUAACAUCAUAGCUAUUGGAACGGAUGACUCUUCGAUUCUACUCUACAAUAUCCGUGUUGACGAGGUUAAAUGGGUGCUCAAGGGCCAUCAGAAAAAGAUAACUGGACUGGUAUUCUCGCUAUCAAUGAAUGUGCUUGUAUCUUCAGGUGCUGAUUCUCAGCUAUGUGUUUGGAGUAUGGAAGAUUGGGCGAAGAAGAAAUCCAGAUAUAUCCAACCUCCAUCUAAUCAUUCUGGAGCUUUAGUUGGUGAUAUAAUGGUGCAGUUUCACUAUGACCAAAAGCGCCUUUUAGUAGUUCAUGAGAGCCAAUUGGCGAUCUACGAUGAGGAGCUAGAAUGCUUGUGCUCAUGGUUCCCAAGUGAUCCACUCUCUGCUCCAGUUUCGAGUGCAGUAUACUCAUCGGAUGGCUUAUUGAUCUACGCUGGAUUCUGUGAUGGUGCAAUUGGAAUAUUUCAAGUGGAAUCUCUCAUGUUACAGUGCAGGAUUGCACCUUCUGCCUAUAUACCAUCUUCAGUUUCUAGCGGUGGUGAAAUUGUGUAUCCCAUGGUUGUCGCUGCGCAUCCCUGGAAGCCUAACCAGUUUGCAGUCGGCAUGAGCGAUGGUGCAGUUCAUGUGCUGGAGCCGUUGGACACACCCGAUGAUAUCAUCAGCAAUUCAAUUCAGCAGGGGCGUUUUGGUGACAGCGGAUGAUGUGUGGACAGGGUGCUCAAUACGGUUGGCAGGCUGGAUGGCAAUACUUGCUUGGCCUAUGGUGAUAGAUUAUUUUUUUCGCCAGCCGGUUAAGAAAGCAGACCAAAUUUCAUCAAGGGAAGAAGUACUUACUACAAACUAGAAAGCAAACUGGAAAGGUAGCCCGCGUGAAUGCGCGGGCAUGCUUGUUAUUUUGUUUAAAAACAGGUCUACCAAAAUAAGUUUAAAUUAAUGUUAGGUAUUUCCCUUUUUAAUUGAUUGUUCAUUGUUUUUUUAAAAAAAAAAUCUUGAGAAACUCGUAUUGCUCAUAAAUGUAUUUUUUUCCCUAAAUAUACAUAUAUUAGAUAGCGCUUCUUAUACGUAGGACCCUACAAUAUUUUUAAGAAAACUACCUAGUCAAUAUUAGUCUUACAACGUAAUUUAGUAGGAAACUUCUAAUCAUAUUGUUAUAAGAUAUGCUAUUGAUUUUGUAUUGA